rnacentral:rRNA from 1 species
UACGUAGGGGGCUAGCGUUGUCCGGAUUUAUUGGGCGUAAAGAGCGUGUAGGCGGCCAUGUAGGUCCGGUGUGAAAACUCGAGGCUUAACCUCGAGAUGUCAUCGGAAACCAUUUGGCUAGAGUCCGGAAGAGGAGAGUGGAAUUCCUGGUGUAGCGGUGAAAUGCGCAGAUAUCAGGAGGAACACCGAUUGCGAAGGCAGCUCGCUGGGACGUAACUGACGCUGAGACGCGAAAGCGUGGGGAGCAAACAGG